AGUGGGAUAACUGGAUCAAAUGGUAGUUUCAUUCCAAGUUUUCUAAGGAAUAUUAAUACUGCUUUCCAUAGUGGUUGUAUCAGUUUGCAGUCCCAACAGCAAU
rnacentral:pre_miRNA from 1 species